rnacentral:rRNA from 1 species
ACGAACGCUGGCGGCAUGCCUAACACAUGCAAGUCGAACGAGACCUUCGGGUCUAGUGGCGCACGGGUGCGUAACGCGUGGGAACCUGCCCUUAGGUUCGGAAUAACUCCCCGAAAGGGGUGCUAAUACCGGAUAAUGUCUUCGGACCAAAGAUUUAUCGCCUUUGGAUGGGCCCGCGUUGGAUUAGCUAGUUGGUAGGGUAAAAGCCUACCAAGGCGACGAUCCAUAGCUGGUCUGAGAGGAUGAUCAGCCACACUGGGACUGAGACACGGCCCAGACUCCUACGGGAGGCAGCAGUGGGGAAUAUUGGACAAUGGGCGAAAGCCUGAUCCAGCAAUGCCGCGUGAGUGAUGAAGGCCUUAGGGUUGUAAAGCUCUUUUACCCGGGAUGAUAAUGACAGUACCGGGAGAAGAAGCUCCGGCUAACUCCGU